rnacentral:rRNA from 1 species
CCCUUAGAUGUUCUGGGCCGCACGCGCGCUACACUGACGGAGGCAGCGAGCGUGUCCUUCGCCGGCAGGUGCGGGCAAUCUUGCGAGUCUCCGUCGUGCUGGGGAUAGAUGGUUGCAAUUGUCGAUCUUGAACGAGGAAUGCCUAGUAAGCGUGAUUCAUCAAAUCGCGUUGAUUACGUCCCUGCCCUUUGUACACACCGCCCGUCGCUCCUACCGAUUGAAUGUGUUGGUGAGGAGCUCGGAUUGGCAGCAGUUGGUGGUUCGCCACCGGCUAUUGCUGAGAAGUCCUCCAAACCGCCCCAUUUAGAGGAAGGAGAAGUCGUAACA